rnacentral:rRNA from 1 species
AUUGAACGCUGGCGGCAUGCUUUACACAUGCAAGUCGAACGGUAACAGGUUAAGCUGACGAGUGGCGAACGGGUGAGUAAUGCACCGGAACGUGCCCGAUCGUGGGGGAUAACGCAGCGAAAGCUGCGCUAAUACCGCAUACGAUCUGAGGAUGAAAGCGGGGGACCGUAAGGCCUCGCGCGAUCGGAGCGGCCGAUGUCAGAUUAGGUAGUUGGUGGGGUAAAGGCUCACCAAGCCGACGAUCUGUAGCUGGUCUGAGAGGACGACCAGCCACACGGGGACUGAGACACGGCCCAGACUCCUACGGGAGGCAGCAGUGGGGAAUUUUGGACAAUGGGCGAAAGCCUGAUCCAGCAAUGCCGCGUGCAGGAAGAAGGCCUUCGGGUCGUAAACUGCUUUUGUACGGAGCGAAAAGGCUCUCUCUAAUACAGGGGGCUCAUGACGGUACCGUAAGAAUAAGCACCGGCUAACUACGUGCCAGCCGCCGCAGUAACAC